CGCAGGCGGGCAGGUCGCACUCGUCCAACAUCAGCUGCUCCAGGCGGGGGCAGGCGGCCGCCAGGCGGGACACCACGUCGGGCGACAGCUGCGUAAGGAAGGGGCAGGUUGGCGCGUGGGGACGGAGCAAGCAAGGGCACGGGGCGGCGCGUGCUUGGUGCAGUGUCCGCUUGGAGUGGUAUGGGCAUGGUCAGAUCUGGCCCACGUGACCCCUUUCCGUGCCCACCCUACCCACAAACUAUUCCGAACCCAUCCUACCCACCCCAUCCAGUGCUCACCUGGCAGCAGUGCCGCAGCCGCAGGUUGCUCAGCGCCCCACAGGUCGUAAGCCAUCCCAGCAGCGCCUCGCAGCUAAACGGCCGCCGCCCCGCGUCCCCCACCUCCCCUUCUCUCUGUCCUUGCUGUGUUCCCCCCUCCUCCGCCUCCGCCACCUGUGAUGCCGCAGCGGCGGCCGCACCACCCCUGCCACUGCCCUCCUCCACCGCCACCACACCAGCGGCGCGGCCACGCCCCGCCUGGGCCUGAACACGACCCACACGCGGUCGCUGGUAGCCGGUCUGCUCCAGCCGCAGCUGACUCAGUGCAGGCGUGCCGCGGCGGCGCAGCUCCCCUAGCAGCCCCACCGACAGCCCCGCCACGCCCACCAGCGCCAGCGUGCGCAGCCGGCGCAGGGGAGGCAGCGAAGGCGGCAGCGGCAGCGGCAGCGGCAGCGGCAGCGGUAUCCGCGCCGCGUGCUCAGCACCAGCAGCACCAUCGGUGCGCGCGCUGCCGCCGCCGCCGCCUGUUCCAACCUCGCUGCCUCCUGCUGCCAGCUGCCCGACCGGCCUGCCGUACAGGAGUGAGAGCAGGUCGUCGUCGUACAGCUCCGUGGCACUGCCGCCCACCAGCUGCAGGUCAGACAUGGCCCACCGCCGUACACAGCGCCGCCGUACGCACUGCCGUACACACCGCCGCCGCUGCUGUGGCGGUGCUUCUUCUUCUUCUUCUGCCUCCGCGGCCGCGGCAGCUUCCAACCCCUCCCUCUGCCCCUCCUGCCCCUCGUGCCCCUCCGCCUCAUGCCCCUGCAUCGCCAGUCCUUGCUGCCCCCCCACCGCCGCCUUCUGCUCCGCCAGCCAGCCCAGCGGCCGCAGCAGGUCCUCCCGCCGGAAGGGGCCCAGGCAGUGGAUGAGGUGCAGCUCGUGCAGCUGGACCAGGUGGGGAGAAGCGGGGUGGGAGAGGGGUCGGGCUACUCCAAUCCCAACCAACGGGGGUUGUAAUCGAAUUAUCGAAACCAUACCCAAUAAGAGGAGCUGCAGGGAUAAGUAGACGCAGAAGACACACCACGCAGGAAGGCAAGUCGACACAGGAAGGCCAGACACACGCCGCACGCCCCUAGCAAGCCCGAUUGCGUUGUGGCCCGGACACACAGGCGACGUGUCCGCCGCAAGUACUGCAGCCUUUCCGCCGUUGCCCGAAUGCACCGUUUGCGCCCUUCCUCCCUUCCUCCCUUCCUCCCCAUCCCCAUCCCCUCAUCUCUUCCAACCUUCCACCCUUCCUCCCUUCCAUCCCCUGCCCGCCCACCUUGCAGCACGCCGCCAGCAGCUCCCCCAGCCCGGCGCCCGACACGCCCGCCAUCUCCAGCCGCAGCGCCUGCAGGUGCGGGCAGGCGGCGGCCAGCGCCCGCAGCCCCACGUCGUCCACGGCCGCCCCCACCCCCAGCUCCAGGCGCGAGAGCACCAGAGAGCGGUGCGGCGGAGGGGGCGGGCACGGGGCGGGCGCAGGAGGCGAGGCGGCGGCGGUGGUGGAGGUGGUGGAGGGAGUGGCGGUGGAUGAUGGCAGGGAAGAGGAGGCAGAGAAGGCGGAGGAGGAGGGGUGCGUGGAGGCGGGGACCGCUGGUCUGCCGCAGCCGCACAGGCGCAGCACGGCGGCGGUGUUGAAGCCCCACCCCACGGCCAGGCUUCUCAGGCCGUGCAAGCCUGCAAGCUGCUGCCCCUGAGCCACCUCCGCCGCCACCUCAGCCCUCUCCGCCACCGCCGCCUCAACCUCCACUUCCGCUUCCUCCUUUGCAUCUCCCUCCUCUCCAGACGAGUCGCUCGCCGAAGGGGUUUGCGCUGCAACCGGUGCCGCCUCUGCCUGAGGCAGGCGCGCGCCGCACCCAGGAGGCACCCGGUGUGGCACACACUCCGUCGGAAGUGGCGCCAGUGGCGGCGCCGCCGCCGCCGCCCGAGGUAUCGGCGGCGCCGCCGUCCGCAGCAUCGGCGGCGGCAGUGCCGCGGGCGCCAGGUCGCGACAGCGGCUGAGCCCCAGGUGCUGCAGCCGCAGCCGGCAGCCACAGGGAUCCCUGGCCUCACCGCUGCCAGCCCCCACUGCCACUGCCACUCCCGCCGCCGUAAAAUCCCCGCCAGCCGCGGCCCCGGCUACAGCCUCCGGCACCGCAGUAAGCUGUAGCAGCGCCAUCAGCUGCUCUGGCCCAACGCCCGAAGAGCCGUUCAGCUCCAGGCGCUGGAGGCGGCGCAGCGCCGGCUGUAGCACCGUCAGCCAGUCGUCGGCAGCUGUAGCAGCCGCCGUGGUGGCCGCAGCAGCCCUGGAAGAUGAGAUGGCUGUAGCAGAUGGCCGGCUCGCUGUGGCGCUUGCGGCCUUGGCACUAGCGGUUCCAUUGGGGGGCAAGCCCUUGGCAGUAGCCGCACCCUUGGUGGCAGCAGCAGCGCUCUUGGCAGAAGCAGCAGCGCCACCACGAGCAACGCUGCUACUGCUGCUGCGGCUGUUGCUACUGCCGCUUCGGUUGCCGUUGUCGAAGAAGCCGCCCAGCUCGAGGUCACACAGGCGCAGGUCUGCAUACGGUAACGGGCAGUUGGUGUUGCUUCCAGCGCUCUGCUCAAACCCACGCCGCUCCGACAUGGAAAUGAAAAUUUAUUCGGCCCUUUGAUGCUUGUUCCUAACCCCGCUCUUCCGUUCUGGGCUUUGGGGAGUUUGGGAUGAGGGCUCUGUCCCCGUCAACCGCCCACCUUGCAAGCACUCCAGUCGCGCCACCGCCUGUCGCAGCUCGCCGCCCCAGGCCCGUGCCACCACCGCUGCCGCCGCCAGCGCCUCCGCCCCCGCCGGCUGCCCAGCCGCUGCCGCUGUAGCUGCUGCCGCCGCCGCCGCCGCCACGCCGCCUGCCCACCUGUUCACAGGUGGCAUGGCAGCCCCCAGCGCACCCGCCGGGUCUCUGCCACCCCCGCCGUUAGCUCGCCUGGAGGAUGACCCGUUGCGGCUGCCCGCAGCAGCCCUUGCUGCUACAGCCGCGGAUGCGGCUGCUGAGUGCGCGGCUACUGCCGCCGCAGCUAAAAUGCCUGGCGGCGCGAGCGGGCAGCCGGACAGGUCGAGGGCGGUGAGGUUGCGGCAACAGCCCUGUGUGGCAUAAGGACAGGAUCAUGACCAUUGUCCCGACGGAAAUCCAUACAGUUAGAAUGACAGGCUGAACACAACCGCUGGCAUAAUGCCAAGCUGCACCUAGGCCCCCAAUCAGCUGGAAUUGGAUGACACAACACCGCACACGCACACACUUCGCACGGACACGCAUGCUCUGUUGUUCUCUUGCCCUGUCUCUCCCGAACACGAACACCACCAAUCGGAUCCCCCACGCACCGCUCUCCCCAGCAGCCGCAGCUCUUGCAGACCCGCAGCCGCCGAGUGUGUGGCCACCAGAGUGUGCAGGUGCGGCAGCAGUACACUGCCGCCACCCUCGGGGGGCAUCUCCGCCGCCGCCAGGAGCGCCAAAGCAAGCGGCGAGCCUUCAUGGCUCCGAUGUGCAACCUGUACAGAGGGGCACGGGCCAAAGCCUCUUCAAGCCCUCCACCUGUACUGUACAAUUCCAUUGCCAGGUUUCAUCCUGGAAAGGCUUCAAUCUAGACCCUCCCAAAGACGGUGAUUCAAUGCUUUUUGACGCCGUGGAGCUGGUCAAGCGCAGCGGGCAAAGCUGAAACCGUAACCAAACCCAAUGCUGCGAGCGCGGCCGUGACCGCUCUAAUCACCUGCAGGAGGGCCGCUAGUGCCGCGCUGUCGCCGUCGGGCUCAGCGACGCCGUCACCAUGGUCACUGCCCCCCUCCCCCUCAAAGGCCGACGGCCACUGGUUCCCAACCGCCAACGCAGCUGUGGUCAGGGCUACACCCGUCGCCCUGCCGUACAGCCCAUGGUACGACAGAUCCACGUAGGUCGGCGCCACCGGCUCCAACUGACCCUGCUGCCGCUGGCGCCGCUGCGGGACCGCGGCCGCGCCGCGCGCGUGCUGCGCGAGGCGCGUGACGAAGGAAGCGAACAGCUGCACCGCCUGCCAUUGCGGAUGCGGAGAUGAGCGAGAGCCCGAUUUGAAGAGGAUUACCGCAGGGGCCGCAGAGGCAGCACAAAGUGUCUGUGGAUGGUCUGGGCCCUGGUCUGGGCCCAAAAGGAUCUGCCGUCUAGAGCUCCCGCACCAGACCCGAGUUCCAACUGCUGCUGGCGGCGCCUGCACGCUACGCUCAGUGCCCCUCCACCUGCGCCUGCACACCCACGCGCUCCCUGACACCAAACACCGACGCGCUCGCGCUCGGCCCGCCACACCCUCCAUACUAACCUCCCUCUGAUGCUCCUCCCGCCCGCCCCCCUUCGGCACGCCCUCACCUCUGCGCUGCAGGCUGGGCUGGUCGGGUGCGCCGGCAGGCACGCCGCCCCCGACCCCAACACCAGGCCACCACCUCCAUCCGCACCCGCACCAUCGCCAGCCACACCGUCACCUGGACAGCCGCCUCUCGCCUCCAACCCCACCCGGGCCCCGGCCCCCGGCCCCGCCCCCGCGCCCGCCUCCGCUCCUGACCCCGCAGCCCUGGUUCCAAGGGGCCGCAUGGGCCCCGACUGGCUCGCCGCCCCCGCGUCCGUGACCACGGAUUCUCCGAGCAGCGGGGGCACCAGCGGCGGCUGCAGCGCGGGCCGGUAGGUGGACGGCUGGGGCCAUGCGGCGGGGGCCAGAUGCGCGGCCGCGGGCAGCUCGGGUGCCAGCCACAGCGUGUGGGCGGCCGGCAGGUGCGUCACGUGCGUCACCGGCAGCCCCGGAACCUGCAGCGUGGCGUGGCGAGCGUGUGGGUGUCGGUGGUAGGCAGUUGCAGCGGUCGUCAUGCCAACCAGGGAUGGGGUGGGGCAGCGACCGUGCAGGUAGCGUGGCGGCGUGUAAACUGGGAUUGAUAUACCGUACGGGUUGUGACGACAGGGCUGCGGGCUGCUCGUACAGUCAGGAAGUACUCACCGGCCAAGUGCCGGGGUCGCCAUGCCUGCCCUUCCCACCGACGGAGGCCGGCGCUGCAGGGGCGGGAAGCGCAUGGUCGCGAUCGCCUGCGGCGGCGACCGCCACCGCCGUCGCCGCCGCCUCGCCGUCGCGCGGCGGAUGGUGGGCGGCCAGCACGGCAGCAUGGCUGUCAGCGAGCAUCGCCACCCGCCCAUCACUCAACAGCACCGCCGCUGCCGCCGCGGCUUCGGCAGGGGGCUGAAACAUGUGUCCGCGCUCGAGCCUGAGCCGCGCUGCGCCAGCACCGCAGCGUGCUGGCGAGGUCGGCUUGUGGCGGCUUGCGGCGGCGGCGGCGCCGCCAGCUGCGCUGGGCAAGGCGCUGGGCUGAGUGAAGGGCGUGUCAGGCCGAAGGCUGUGCGCCGGAUGAGGAUGGCAGGCCAGGGCCUGCGACGUGGGGUUUUGGGUCGGCUGUGGGGCGGUUGCGUGGAGCAAGGCACGCCAGUCGCCAUCGAUGACGGCUCGGUGGCGCUCCGCCCUCUGCCGCCAGGCCUCCAGCCCACCAAGCCCGGCGCCGGCGCCACCUGUGCAGCCAGAGUUCAGCGAGCGUUGUGUGUUUAUGCAGGCCAGGCGUCACAGUUGGAUUUAUGAGCAACGCGCAUGUGGGUCGGGUGCAGGAAGCCACGGCGCCGCCCAGCCCGCCCUAAGAGGCGGCCGCGUACCUUGACACGACAGGCGGCCGUGUGUUUAGGGAGAGCCCGGGUCACAGCAACGACUGAGCCGGCCGCGAAGCGGGACUUGCCUGUUGUAUCCGUUACCAGAAAUAGUAGCGUGUGGCAUGUGGCUGCCACCGCGGCCUUAUCCAAGGGCCGCAGGCGGCGCAGCACAUCGGCGAGUAUGGCUGUAGGGAGGUCGCAAAAGGACCGCGCCAGCACGCCAGCAGCCUCCGGCACGCACUUACCAUCUUCAGGCAGCAUGGCUGUUAAAGCUGUUGCUAUAGCAUAAUUAUAUCCGCAUCAUCGUUCGGCAACCGGGAGUGCCCCUUCACGCCUAAGACGCGCAAACUCGAAACCUCGCCAACUGCGCCCGCGAGGUGGACGUGAGCUACGCAUGUGAAGUUGAUGAAAUUAAAUGAUCUACGAGUGCAGCUGGCGCUGGAAGGGUCGGUAGGAAUGCUUGAUGGGGCUGGCGCGGGUUCUCAUCCAUCGCGGUUCUCCUUCUAUUAAUCGAGUCCGCCCGGCUCCCAAAGCAUUUGCUUUCGACACACCAACACCACAACUGUCACGACCAAACUACGUACUACCUCAAUUACAUAUCAAACCCCGCGGCGUGCUACCUCCUUGCAUUCGCCUCUCAGAGUUUCCCUGCUCCCGCCAGCGCUACCAGGCCUGGAUUUUGAUCCUUUGGAAGGAUGGAGACGCUGUGGCCGGCUCCAUACGCCCUACCGUAAGUAGGAACGCAGAAGAAGCCGAGGAGACACGCAGUUGGGCCGCGCGAAAGUCGGUUGAAACGCAGCUCAAGCUGCAUUGAUAGAAAGUAAUUUGUGCUGCAAACUGCGUUCGGAUUUGGUGGGAAGGCAGUCGGGCGUUGUCGGGGAGAACGCGGCAAAACUCUGCAGACGCGGCCAAGCCUUUGCGUGCUGCGCCCUAGUCCAGGUUCCUGUCUGAUAUCACGGCGUAUUGAUUGGGCCGGUCAGAUAGACAUAAUUGCGCCUGGCGUGCGCCGAGCGGGCAGUUGACGCGCGACUGCUUUUAUGCGCAGGCUCCAGUCUGCGGCGAUGGCGCUGUCCGAACAGCAGCUUGGCCAACACAUUGAUUCUGGCAGCGAGGAGGACCACAUCGCGGUCGUGGCGCAGGUCCAGACUGGCAAGAAGCGACGCAGUGUGAGCGCGGAAGAGGACCCAGACUAUGAGGACGCCGCGCAAGGCGCGCAAGGCAUAACGCAUGAUGGUAAGCAAUUCGGGGAGGGCCUGGACAGAUUCUUGGUGCUGGACCCUGCUCGCCAUUCAAAUGCUCGAGGGCAGCUCGAGUUUCCUUCCAGCUCUGACUCCCAAGGCGAUGCUUAGAAGCGGUUCAAAUCCUCUUUUUCUAUCUAAGGAAAUCGCGUUGGGAUCGUUUUAGGUCCUGUCAGGCGCAGCCCUGUCAGCUCCGACUGGGCACGCCACCGCCACCUGGCACGAACCACCCGGUUUCAUUUUACCCCCGCCCCACUCUGGCUGUCCGCUUGCCAACGCAUUCAGCCAUAUGCCAGUUUUGACCACUAACACGAUGCUCUCUUCUCUUUCUUUUGCAUUGUGGUGGCUACUCGUCUGUAGGUACAUCAAACAAGGCCGGCUACCGAGGCGUACGGCGCCGGCCAUGGGGCUCCUACGCCGCCGAGAUUCGGGACGCAGGCUGCGGCAAGCGCCGGUGAGCAUUUGCUCCUUGACAUGUAUGGAACAUGUCCUACUCGUUUCGCCAUGCGGUAUGCUUGUACGGGGAUUGUCCUGGCCUGUCUGGCCCUAAGCCACCUGCCUCCUGAGCCAGCGGCCUCGAAGCCUGUCGAGGAAUCUUGUGGGAACUUUGGCUACAGGUGGAUUGGCACGUUCAAGACUGCUGAGGAGGCUGCACGGGCGUACGAUGAGGCCGCCAUUGCGCUGCAUGGGCCUCGCGCCAAGGUGAGACGCGCUCGAAUGCACAGUUUCGCUUGUCUUGAUCUGGGUCGGAUGACUUGCACGUCGCCCUGAUAUUGCUUGCACCCACCGUAACUGUGCGAUUCAAGCCAAGUCCGCGCGUCAGUUAUGCCAGCUAUCCGAUCACAGCGUGCCCGCCUGCGAGCCCCCGCGUCAACCUUCAGGCCGCUGACGCAACCCCGCUGCGCCCCCUUUGCAGACCAACUUCACCUACCCCUGCCAGCAGCAGAGCGCCGCCGCCGCGCCAGCCGCCGCACACAAGGCCCACAAGCCGCACGCCGCCGCCGCGCCGCAGCACCACAAGCCGGCGCACCACAGCCAGCAACCUGCUCAGCCGCGCAAGCAGCCGCUGCACCCCCGGCAGCCGUACCAGCAGCACCAGCCCCCCCAGCUGCCGACGCAUCAGGAGGAGGAGCAGUACCGGCGCAAGUCGGACGACUCAGACACCUCUAUGACCGCUGCGCUGCCGCUGCCGCUGUCGCUGACGGGGCAGCUGGGCCUGCCGCCGCUGACGCUGCCGGGGCUUGAGGGUCUGGACCUGAUGGCGCUGCAGUCCAACCCCGCGCUGCUAGCCGCGCUGCUCGCCGCCACGCGGCAGCACCUCCCGGGGUUGGCCGGGCCGGAUGCGCAGCCCGCCUGCCUGCCGGAGCAGCAGCUGUCGGAGCGGGUCUGGGUCCAGGAGCAGCCGGUGCAGGGGUGCGAGGAGGAGGAGGACGGGUUGGAGGAGCCGGAGCCGCCGCAGGUGCUGCGGCCGGAGCAGCUUCGGUCGCUGCAGGUGCUGGCGGAGGUGGCGCACCUGUUCGGGCGCCGCGACUUCUGCAUGUCGUGACCUUCGCCGGCGUGCCAGGUUCGGCAGGGCGUUAGGUAGGCAGCCGUGCAGGCUCAGCCGGGGUGACGUGGGCGAAGAAGAUGGCAAAGUGAUCUGGGUCUAUGUGGUGGGGGCUUGGGCAGUCAUUCGCAGGCCCCCAAAUAGGUUGGGAAUGGGUUGCCAAGGUACUUUUCCCGUGGGGCAGCAGCUUGGUAGGCAGACCGCGGGUGGGUGCAGGCGGCGCGGCUCUGCAGUGCUGUGCCGGGCUCCCGGAGCACGCUCCAUUCUGCGCCAUGUGAGUCAUGUGCGUGGGACGCCAGCGUAGCAGUCUUACGGUGCGCCUCAGCUGUUUCCUGUGUUUGUCGACAGCCUGGCGUCGAUUGUACUUUUCGGCUGUGCCACGGCGAGGCGGUGACUGCGCACAGACGAAGAACAAGGGGCGAGGGAUGAGACGACGACAGGACUGAGUGUGUUGGGCAUGGACUUCGUGCGGGAUGAACUUAUCAGGGGCAGUAGCCCAUGUUGGUGGGCACAUGUUUGGUGCGGUACCAAUCAUGCAUAGAUGCAUAACAUGAGGCUACCACAGACACGACCGCAGGUGGACGGCUGCAUGUCCGAUUAUUUUGGUUUCGAAGCCGAAGCUGUGUGUGGUGCGUUUUGAGUGGAUGACAACGCACGCGAUAGCGUGCCGGUGAUUCUUGCCGCUACAUGGCGCAGGCGCUGUGCAAUCGGUACAUGGUGAGGCACGCUCCCGACUCAUGGGAGCUGAGAUGGGGACUGAUGGUGUUAAGGCCUUUAUACAUAUUCUACGGCAGCACAACGUCAUCAGGAUUAAGGCGAAUCCAAUGUGUGGCUGCAAGCGGCUCUUGACCACGCAAGCCACAGCCAACGAUUGACGCUUCAUAAGGAGUGUGUAUGGGUACCGCAUGUGGAUGAUAAUCCUACCGAGAGGGACUGUGGUGGUGUCUGACACCUUCGCAAGACGGGCGUAUGCGUGAGAAAGUGAGGGUGCAAUUAGUGAUGCCAGUGAGGUUACAGGUGGCACGCGCCAUAUUCGUUUCCGCCAACUUGAAAGACGUUGGGAGGCGAGGAGAGACAGGACAAAGCUUAGGCGACUAGAUAUACUGCCAACGGCAUUGCAUGGUCGGGCUCAAUUUCCCCUGCCACAAUAAUUCGUGUAUCUAGCACGCACGUGAGCAUGGCAUCGUCAAUGCAAUGUGCGGCUGAGGUUGCCUGCAGGCGGGUGAAUGGGCUGUGAUUACUUUUGUUUGGACUCCCCUGUACGCCCGCCGAGCUCAGGCCUAGCUCUUUCAUUUUUCUUUCUUUGGGGGUCCAUGCGUUGCUUGGGGCCUGAACGGUAUGGGCCCCGAAGUGGGCGUAGAGCCACUGGGGCGGGUAAAAGACCCCCGACAGCAACACGGUACAAUUCAUCCCUGUGCAAGGGGCAACACGGUGUAACACAGCUGCCCACCUCGACUGCUCUCAUGAACCCGACCCCCUGACCCCAACCACAGCACAGCUGCUCCCUGGUUCGAAUACAUGUCUGCGGCCAUUUCAUCUUCUCCUACUCUCCUAGUCUCGGGGUUAACCAAUGGCCUCGCCCCCCCCCCUCCCGGGCGCCGCGACCCACCGUCCAGUGACUUACGGUUAGACGCUUUAUGUCGGUGGCAGGUGUAUGGGUGCUUCGGGGCAAUCAGCCGAUGAAGCAGCCUCCCCUCGGUUGCGGACUUGAAAUCCGGACGGCGUGUGCCAUAUGCACCGCCGCCCUGCUGCAGAGUGGCUGCGCCGGGCGCCCGCCUGCGUCCUCCUCCUUCACCUCCCCCGCCGCGCACAGCAGCUGCAGUCCGAUUGCGCGGCUUGCAUCAUUGCAUGUUUGCUGAGGGUACCUGUAUGCGGCAUGCAGCAUGCCUGACUGGGCGCUCUAUGCAUGCGACAUUACAAGAAAGGACAGUCCGACCAAGCAUGGGUGCCCAGCACCCAGGUCAGGAGGGAACCAUCUCCGGCCCGAAGGGAAACCGCCCUCCCCCCAGCUGGCUGCCGACCUUCACCAAACCGUGCAUUGUUUCUGCGCAAAAAGCGUGUCUCAGCUGCUACACCGGCAUACGGUAAGUCGAAGUCGCCCUAUGCUGUCAAGGGACAAGAAAAGGUGGCUCUCCCUCGCAAGGGAAAAGUGGGCUGCGCCAAAGGGGGAAUGGUAGAAGCUCAGGAUCUUGCCCCAUGCAUUAGAUAAGAGAGCGUUAGGGGAGCAUCACGCACGUACUUAUGGUUCUUCGGGGGUGGUCUGGUGAGCAAGUUCUGGGCCGUCAAAGUUGGGAGGUCAGUCGUGAUCGGGUUUCAGGAGCCCAUCCUGGCGGAUUUUGAGAAGCGCCCCACAACCAGGGGAUCUAGGCAUUUCAAUAACCAGAGCUAGGGGCCGAUCGCAGCACCGUGUGGCUCAAUUAUGCAUGUUACGAUGUGCACAAACAAAGCGUGGGAGGUCCAUUUGCGCGUCCUGGCGUGGACAAGUCGGGACAUGUCCGCACAUGCGACGCCUGCACGCUGACAUGGCUGGGCUCUCAAGCUCCAGUGCACAUGAAUUUAUUUCAGCUGCCGGCGCACGCUAUCGAUACGUCACAUGACAAAGCGUGGAGCGGGGUGGGUCGUAGGGAUUUCCAUGAAUGCAUCUUCGAAUGCAGAGCAGGACUCGUCAAGGAAAGUCGAUUGGGACCACUUUGGAUGGGUUGAAGGGUUUAAGGGUUUAACCCCUACACGAUAAGUCUGUGUCCGUGAGCAUGAGCAUUUACAUGGCGUCGAAGUCCAUGUGGCCCCACUAACUCUUCUGAGUCCGGAGGCGCUUGAUAGCAAAAAGCAAAGUGUCUUCUAAAGCGUCUAUACGCUGUUUACGCGCCUGAGCACGUAAUGCCCGCUCCACCUUUCCAUCGGGGUCGGAGCCCCUUCUCACGAAGAUCCUCAAAAGCCUUCAGUUGCUCCUUGCGCAUCUCACACCCUACCCGGGUCAGAUACGGUGCGACAACGGCACCAGCCGCACGGACCUGCUGCGCCACCCGAAUGAGCGCGCUCCGCUCCUGCUGUGUCACCUCCACCACGACAUGCCACACCUCCCUACCCUUUGACCGCCACGCGCGCACGUAUCGUCCGGAGACGUUUGCGCCACUCGCACUGGCCACCGCCUCCAGAUUUCCAGCCGCCUUGAGUUUCUCGAGCAGCUCACGGCUAACCGACUUCAGCAGGACUUUACCCUCGUCGACCCCCCCGGAGCACCCUGCUCGGGCCAGGGCGCGCUGAGUGUCCUCUAGCGCGCAACGUUGCUCCUCCAUCUGGACUUGCAGCGCUGCGACCGUGCCUUGCAGCUCCUUCUGCCGCCGUUCAGCUGCAAGCGCAGCGCCCUGGGCCUCUGAGACAGAGGCGUGGAGCGCCAGCGCUUGUAGCUGCAGCUGCUGUAUGCUGUCGCCGUGCUGCGUGGCUGCUGAUGUUUGCUGCUCUAGCUGCCCAAGUGCCUCCUCCAAGGCCGCUAGGUACUCCUGGAUGGUCGCGAGCGCUGGUGUUGUGGCGAGAUCGAACAGGCGGGUCGUGUAAGACAGGCGCGUGAGACGCUGCAGCAGUUUCGUAGCGCGCUGAAAUGGGAAGGCCGCGCCAGAGUCCGGAGUGCCGAUGCUCAUCGCACUAGUGCUGGCAACCGGGCAGGAGUCCUGCUGGUCGCUGACACUACUGAAGCUCCCAAAGCUUUCCAAACGGCACCCAGGCCCACUGCUCGCCGUGCUCGGCGGCAGCUCGGGCUGGGGCGACGAUCGGGCUGAGGUUCCUGCGAAAGCGGCGGCCACCGCCCUGUCGGUAGCUUCACGCAUUUUUGCCUGAAAUGUUUCGUAGAAAUUGUGCUCGGCCAUGUUUUGUUAUCUCGUGUCGUGUUUGGUCAGGUGGCCACUUUGAGUCGUUGUGUUGUGUUGUGUUGUGUUGUGUUGUGUUGUGUUGUGUCCUGGGGGUGGUCCAGAUUGGUCGUACCCGAAUUCGGGUCUGGCACUAUCUUUCUUCAAUCCCCCCCCUGGCGCCCAAGCCAUGUUGGUGCAUGCCUCUUCAUCUCUUUCACAAGCAUAUAGUGACAUCUGCUUCCAUGCCGUGACAAUCUGGUCCGCUUCAGUCGAUGCACCCCGUCAGCGUCACCGCGGUCACUCCGGUACGCCAACACGUAGAAAUUCUGCCGCAGGUGUCGUGCAACACAGAAGCUGUCUGCACUACUGGGAUUCUGGGCGCGGUGGCAACUGCUGUGUUUCCCAGGGCUUUUUUGCUUCUUGGCCGCUGGCCCCUUCCCCAACGCAACUUAGCUGUGCACAGUACAAAAGCCGCCCACCCCCUGAUACGGAGCGACACGUGCCUCCCGAAACGCCAGUUACAGGGAAUGUUCCCGUAACGUAUAAUCCACUCGGUCCGCUUUUUCAGGCACGCAAGGAGUCGACACGCGGCUGUGCAGCCCGAAACAGCGCUUUUUGCACUCUUGCAAGCUCACAUGCGCCAUCUGCCUGUGCAUCGUUCAUUCUUUCUACAUCAUCUUCCGAAUCUGCUCUCCUGCAUGUCUCGUCUAUGACCUAACAGGCAUCCCGCGAGUCUCUGCAUUGGCGGCUACCACACGACAUACCCGCAUCAACACAACCAUCAACGGUUUGCAAGUAUUGCAACGUUUUAAAGCAAACAAUCAAGUCAUAGACGUCAAGAAGGUGUGCAUUCCAUCUGAAUGCAACACCUAGAAGUUCCAAGAGAGAGGGACGGGCAGUGACGCCCAUCGUAUUGUAUGUCCGCCCGCUCCUAGCCCGCUAACAAUGUACAUGGGAUCAUCUUGUAAUGAUCGACGGUCAAGCUGCUGCUUGUCCUGCCGCUUACGGCUGGGCAGCGGCGAACAGAGGGCAGCUGCAAAGCAGAAUGAAAAAUGGAGGGACAAGAUCAGAACCACAACCGAAGGCGUGUCGAGGGGGGGCACGGCGCAACCCAUAGCUAGCCAUUUCUACAUGCCAUGCCAACCCCAUAGCAGCACACAGUACUGCUUUUUAGACAUUAGGACAAGCAAACCUCAAGCAGUCACAUCCCAACUCACCAGUUCUUCGUGUCGUCAAACACGUUGCCCCAGCACACGCCAUCGUUGGCAGGCAGGCAGAAGUCCGACAGGGGGGUGUCGUUCUUCAGCUCCAGGCAGAUCUUGCCGCCAUUCGCCUGGUCCUUGCUCCAGUUCAGGGGGGUAGCCUUAACGGUCUGCUCGUCCACAGCGCCCCAGGUGGCGGACAGCCACUUGCCGGUGCCGGUCUUGGGCUGCACGUACACGCCGGUGAUGGCGCGGCGCUUCUUGUCGUCGGCGUAGAACUCGGCCUUGAGCAGGCUGGUGCUCCGGCCGCAGGGGCUGGUGGCGCUGUUGGGGGUCACCAGGGUGAUGCUGAAGCAGUAAGCAGUGGUGUCCUUGGUGCGGCCGGCCAUGCUCGACAUCGCGGGCGCAAUGGCGAAGGGGGUGGCGCCGGGAGUGGUGACGCACUGGCACUUGGGGAAGUCGGGGGUCUGCAGGGCGCAGGCGGCCGAGGCCUGGGCGUUGAUGCACGACUGGGGCAGGCCGGCGACGGCGUCGCCCAUGCCGCCAACAGAGACGACCACGGUGUAUCCGGCCAGGGCGGGGCGGCAGCCCUGAGUCACCAUGUCCAGCCAGAAGUUGAUCUGGGUGUCAACGAAGCUCUGCAGCUUGGCGCCCUCCUCGUUGGAGAAGAAGGUGGCGCACACCAUCACCAGGUUGCCGGCGCAGCUGGUGGACCCAGGGGUCACGGUCACGCCGAGGUCGGAGGCCUGGGUGGCCACGUCGUCCUGAAUGGUGGCGAUGUAGCCCUGGCACUCGUCGUUGCUGAUGGAGUAGGGGAACAGAACGCGGCUGGCGUCGCUAACGGUCAGCGAGAUGUAGACGCAAACCUGGCAAGGAGGAGGGGGGCUGGGGGGAGGAGGGCUCGGGAUGCCGGGCGUGGAGAUAGGGCAGCAGUCGUUCUGGCUGUCGAACAGCGCAGCCGAGCACACACCCUUGGGCAGGCCAGGGGGAGGAAUGCACAGCUCCUCAAGGGUGGUGCAGCCCUUGCCGUUCUUGUUCAUCGACAGGGUGAUGCAAAUCUCAGCACCGUCGCUGGCCAGGCCCAGGCCCAGCUGGGUCAGGACCAGGGUGGUCGAGCCAACGGGGCCAUCGGUGGGCUCGUGGAACGAGACACCGACCUUGGUGGGCACGCCGUUGAUGGUGGCCUUCACCACCUCGCCGAAGACGUCGCACGCCUCGUAGACGUUGAACUGUGUACAUCAAAAUGAGGAACAAACUCAGAGAACUUCUUGAAAAAAGAACUCACACUGUGGGUUGCUGGCUGCUGCGACUUUGAAACCGCGACCCGAUGCGCCGACAACCCACCUCGAUCUUCUUGAGGUCUGCCUUGGAGCAGCAGUAAUCGGUGCAGCCAGCCGGCACCUUGGCGCUCAGCUUGAAGCAGUACUGGUUGUUGCCCUUGGCAACGACAACAUCACCCAGCUUGUAGGCCGAGGGAGACUUCUUGCACUGGCAGUAAGGGAACGAGGUGUACAAGCCCGACUGAGCACCCUGGGCGGCCCUGCAGAUUCAGAACGAAGGGCACACGCGGCACGGAGUUACUGCCAGCGGAGCAAGCGGAGUCUCGGCGACGGGAUAGCCUGCUUGCAACUUGCUGUCAAAUCCGGUGGUGGCGCUACGAUCACUGUUACGCUAUGCUGAAAUCAUGAAAAUAGCCCGAGCAUGCUGUAAGAGCGCCGGUUGCAAGAAGGCCGACCGCAUUCAAGCUGCGCAGCGGACCCACACGACCACUAUUUACGCCGUGAGCGUAAAUGAUUAUCUUUGACUAGAGUCAGCGAUGCUCGUCUAUUCUACAACUCAGGAGCUUCCCGAAGCGACAAAUCUGUGAAACGCGCGGUCUUGCUACUCACGCAAUUGCGGCCGCGAAAAGAACGGAGACUAGAAUGCUGCACCUCAUUGUCACAGAGGUGGUUCAGCUAUAAAGAAAUUGUGAGGCACGCGGGCUUAUCAUGGGGGGCCCGGCUGGUCGAACGAGUCGUACGCCCGCCAUUAACCGCGGGCGCGUUAGUUUGGCGUGCGAUGCAAUCAUUCAUGCAACCGCGCCACUUCGACAGUGCCGGAAACAACUUUUAUUUUUGUGGGUAUGCAUCCGGCUAUUCGGUAGGACAGCAGCUGCGUUACGCUCAAACUCGGGCAAACAAUUGGGCUAGCGGCGUGAGCUUGCACCUCACAACUAUCAUCACACAAGUUAUUUAGAUACUGGCCUACCUUGGGCCAUCUCCAAAACUGCCUGUCCAGCCCGGGAGCGGCGGAGCUGUUUCGCCCGCGGUUUGGAGUGGCUUUACUCGUGCCGACGCAAGUCCUUGAUUUUUGCAUUAUAAAAAAAUUAUAGAGUACAGCUAUAGCAACCAACUUGGCAAUGGAGCUGCUGGCAUGGUCCAAACGCGGGAAGCUGGCGCCUUCUAGGCUCUUUGGAGCCCUGUCGGCUUCACAAGUGGCUGAUGCUCAAGUUGUGCAUCGCUUUGGCCGGACAAAUGUCUCCUAGUAACCCGGUUCACAAGCGAAGCGUGAAACGAAAGCAAAGGAUGCUGCGCGCCGGAAGCGAAACGUUCGAUGCACCUAAUUGGGCGCCAAGCGCGGAACCUUGCAGUCUCAGAUGCGUGUGUGCAUGGAAGGAGAAGGCUGGCGGAGGCGAGAGGAGCGGGGGCAGGGAUUGGCUUUCGUGGGGGGGGCGGGGCAAGUGGCGCGGGCGGGGCUGGGGGGGCGAAGAACGGUGAAGACCGGUGCGAUGGCACAGGGUAAGGGGCAGGUUGGCGUAGUCCCGAGUCCCGAGAAACAACUUACGCCCAACCCAGGCGCCAAUGAAACAGGUGAAGAGCUUGAGGACCCCCCUCCCGCUGUCCGGGCCUUACACACAAGCAGGCCAAGUGCGGGGGGAGCCGUAGCGCACACCAUAUACCGUACUGUCACUGUGCUCGAUUUCGUCGCUAGUGACGCCCCUGCUGGCUAGGGUAGCAAGGGUAAUGGGGGUGAACGAGCCGGUUGCUUAGGCUGUGCCAGCUUUCCCCGGGUUUCAUUGGGGUCACACACUUCACUGAUGCACAACUUUCAGAGCCAGGGGGCUGCAUCCUCCGGCAAGCAGACGCCAGGAGGGUGUCCCUGGCCGCAUGCGCUGGGUCCUGGAGUCUACGGUACGCGUUGCCGCACGCGUCGGUUGGCCAUCCAUUCCCCAUCCUUAGACACAAUGACUGUGUCAUGUGUGCACGUUGCGCUUUAGGCUCGGCCAGCGGCACCCUGGGUUGGGUGUGUGAUGGGUUGGGUCUCGGUUUGAGAGGUGUGACCCUUGCAGAAAGCAGGACUCUCCACACUCCCCUCCCGUGCUGUGCAUGUAUGUUCCUGCAUGCACGUGUGUGUAUGAAGUGAAUGGCUCAGCCAACGGCUGUGUGUGCAUGUGGCCCGCGUAAAAUGCAAUUUACCAGUGAUGGGCACUUCUAUCAGGGAGGGGUAGGAAACAAAGUGCCAGACCCCAUGCCCCGAAAUCCCCCGGGACCCCCCUUGAGGGGACGACCGACCCCCCGACGGACAAAACCUUGUUGUUCAGCGGUUAAAACCCCUCCAUUUAAUACCAAAGUAGUGUCAAUCGACUCCUCUUGACGAGCACUAUCACUCCGUGCCAUCAGCGGUCCUGUUCUGAGACUUCGGUCACGGGCGGGAUCCUAUCCAUGGAAAUCCCCUCGACCCAGACCACCCCGCGCUCAACUCUUUGCCGCGUGACGAAUGGACAAUGUGCAUCGGCAGCCUUGUUAGACGUGAACUCAUGCGCAUCAGCGCUUCAGAGCCCAGCUGUGUCAGUGCGCAUAUGUUGAAUGUGGAGACAUGUCCCGACAUGUCCACGUCCGGACGCGCAACUUAGCCCUCCCACGCUUUGUUUGUGCUUAUUACGUCAUAACGUACACAUAUGAGCCUCGCACUGCUGCGUUUGGCCCCUAGUUCUGCUUGUGGGGCGCUUCCCGAAAUCCGCCAGGAUGGGCUCCCGAAACCCGACGGACCCCCAGGGACGAGGACCGACCCCCAACUUUGGCGGCCCAGAACUUCCUCACCAGACCCCCCUUUAAAAAACUAAAAGUACGUGCAUAAUGCUCUCCUGAAGCUCUCUAAUAUUGAGCAUGGGGUAAGAACCUGAGCUUUCUAACCCCCCCCUGCCAUGGCGGCCACAAUGCCAAGAUGCUACCUGGCGGCGCCACGCACAGCAGAGCCCUGUGCUCCGCAAGGAUGCACACGUGCACACACGCACACACAUGUGCGAACACACGUGCACCUGCCCUCCAUGCCACUCGCCCCGCCCCUUCCCCCUUCCCUCACCUCAGUUAUGGCUGACUGGAUGCGGUUGAUCUCAAACAGCCGGCUGCGCCCCUCCUGGGAGCCGCCGCCGCCGCCGCCAGACAGGAGGUCUGGAGUGCGUGUGAGGAAGGGGAGGGGGGGGAUGUGCCCGAGCCCGAGGUCUCAAGCGUCAAGGAAUUGUUUCCAAACCAGGGGGAGGAAGCGGUAGGGGGGCGCGAAGUGUGAUGUUUGUCGGGGUAAGGUGUGAGGCAUUGGGCAUGGAGCGUAAGGCGGGCAUCAAGGCGGGUAGGGUGUCGGCCUGUGCGCUGUCACCCAAGCCACGGGCGCACCGUUAGCACGCACGCACGCGCACACGCUCACACUACGCACCUGCGGCCGCCUCCUGCCCCUUGCUGGUGGCGCCGCUCCCGCCGCCGCCCCCACCUGCACCCCCAGCAGCCGCCCCGCCCGGCACCGGAGCGCUCACCACCACCUGCGCCUCCGCCGCACCCUCCACCGCUGACUCUGCUCCUGCUCCCCCUCCUGCUGCGGAUGCUUCCGCUGGUAGCUGCACCACUGGCGUGUGCCGUGGAUGCGGUGGGUGCGGCGCCGCCAAGCCAGUCACCGCCGCCACCACCGGCGCCAGCGCCGCCGCCACGGCAGCCGCCGGCUCCCCUCCCGAAAUCCGCCAGACACCCCCUUAAAAAGUUAAAAGUACGUGCAUAAUGCUCUCCUAAAGCUCUGUAAUUUUGAGCAUGGGGUAAGAAACUGAGCUUUCUACCCCCCCCCUGCUUCUAUCAACCGGUUGUGCUUUCGGGGUUACAUGGAAGAGAUUAGGCUGGUGGGGCACAGUGGUGCACGGUGACAGAGACAGCCUUUCUUCCCUGUCUGGGUCAGGGGACAGGUUGUGCCGCCCUCGAGUCCGAAUCAAAUCGUUCUUUGCAGCAUCCCUCUUCAGGAUGCUGAGUGGAGUUGGUGUCGGUAGUAAAGGCCAAGCCCAACGCCCAUUGCGGCAGGGCCCAGGUGUGGGCGGAACGCCCGCCAAGAUGAGACACGAUGAGAGGCACGGCCGAUCGCGCCGAGUUAAGCCAUCACCACGCCCAGUGUUCCGGCCGGUUGUAACAGAUCAACUGUUACGAUCCCUGUUCGAGACAGGGCUGGGCCCUAACUUAUGCCUCUUACGAGUCUUCUAGUGAAUACGCGGUCACCCAAGUCUCAUCCGUUGGACAUCUCCAACCCCUUGCCAGGCUCUACAGUGAGUUAUGUCCGGGGUGGGCUAGGUACUGCUACCCCAGGGGAGAGCCUUCCCUGGCAGAGCCCAGGCCCUGCCGUAUUCCUUACCGGGUCGCACACCCACCGAAGUACCGAACCACGCGUCACGGUCUGGGAAUCAGCUGCACCCUACGGGACUUCACCAACCUGCCUUAACACUGUCCCAUACCACGCGUUACGUUUCUCCACGAUCCGCGGAACGGCGGAAACACGUAUUGACAUGUGUACACCCGCAAGGAGACCGCGGGUGGGUGAGAAUACUGCGCCUGCGCCUGAGAGCCCCGGGGCAAGCUGUCUCAUCCCCGAACGUAGAACUCAUAGAGUGCAGUCUGUGCAAAAGGGAAAGCGAGAUGCAAAGGACGAAGCAGGAGUCGUGUGACGCGUUAGCGUGGAUAAACGCCUGGCGGAUGAGAUCGGACAUGGCAACUUGGAAAUGGGCAGGUUGGUGUUAGUCCUGUGGACCUGAUAUACCCGAGCCGGUUGAGGGCCUCAUGUGCAAAACCGCCAGCGCCGGUCUGCUGGCCUUAUCUGGGUACACGCAGUACCGGUGCGGUAGCUGACGAUGCCAGCGUUAUUGACGAGUGUUGCGGAACUAAUGCGUACGUAGACCAGAGCGGAAGGCGGAGUGGGCUUGCAGGCGGCACGAGAGUAGGCAGUCAGUAGCGCAAGUUGCGAAUUCACAUGUUACCUCGUAACCGACGGUAAACGCUGCGGACGGUCGCGCCCAUGGCUGGCUGACGGAAGGUGGCUGCUGUAUUGGGAUGGCUGGGCUGGACGACGCCGGCCGGGCUGGCGUGCACGAUGUGCACAAACCGUUCCGCCUGCAGAUUGCAGAAAGCCCUGACGCCAGCUGCGCAUCCUGACGGAUGACACGUUGGGGGCUGUCACUCAGCUGCUGACUCGGGACCACCGUGCUGUCCCCUGCCGCAGUUACCGCCGCAGCCUGGCUGGCAUUCAACUUAUGUUGAAAAUUAUAUCAAUAUGACGCGUUCGUACUGUGCCCCCAAACCGGUUUACAGGGGCAACAGGCAAUAGCCCUGCGCACAAACUCCUGCUUCUCACCAGAGCUUUCGCCGUUAUGCACGGCCACGGGAACAAUGGUCCCGGCCAACCACAUCUAUGAACCGUGUCCGUUAGCCUCUCCUGAGGCUUGUAACCGGAACGCGGCUCCGCUGAUUGCAGUCCCAGGAUGACGCUAACCUAAGCAAACAGUCAAUGCGCAUGAUCAUUUACACACACGAGUGCUCUUAUGUACUGCCCAUAUUAAACACAGUCGAGUUGUGGAUCAGUUGCACGAUUCACCGCGCCAGCCCUCGCGGCGGUGCUUCACGCAAUCCGCAUUCAGCUGGUGGCGAGUCGCCAAGCCGCCCCCAACAAAACCCGCACCGCACCAAGUGCCAUGCCGUUUAGACACACGCGCACAACACUAAUCCUGCGAGGCAGUGAUCUCAUCUGUCACUUUGUCAACUACCCAAUCAAGCCAUUUUUCCGAACCCAAUUCAAAACACGCGCCCACGGGCGAAGCUGUGCGCCGUGGCUGUAGCGGCUGCUGCCUCUGCUGCCAACGCCUCACAAAAUCCACCCGUGGCCGUCUGCCACAUAAGCUCCAGCGGUCACCAGCUAUGCUCCGUGCCAGCUCGCGAUAUUGCCAGGCCGUGUGGCCGCAGCAGCUGUUUGCACAGCUGCCGCGAAGCAAGUCCGCUGCCACAAGAACUCAAACAGGGUGGGUCAGCCGCGCGGCUUCCAAGCGGCUUCCACCUUGUGUGUAUGGACACGCGACGCCUCGGCUGCUGCGGGCUGUGCCAUUUACGGCAGGCUCGCCUGGUACAGCGGGCAGCUGCGGGCAAGACACGGGAGGGGUGAGGAAUGGCGGUCAGAUACGUGACAACGUCGAGGCAGAUGUCCGCGGGGAAGUCCGUGGGCGAAGCCUAUUGAUUUAGAUCCCGCAAGACAACCCACAUUGGCAAGUACGUUGUUGCGAGCGUGUCAAUGCAAACCCAACUCACCAGUUCUUGCUGUCGUCGAACAAGUUGCCGUAGCACGAGCCGCCGGGCGCGGGCAGGCAGAAGUCCGACAGGGGGGUGUCGUUCUUCAGCUCCAGGCAGAUAGUACCGCCAUUCGCCUGGUCCUUGCUCCAGUUCAGGGGGGUAGCCUUGACGGUCUGCUCGUCCACAGCGCCCCAGGUGGCGGACAGCCACUUGCCGGUGCCGGUCUUGGGCUGCACGUACACGCCGGUGAUGGCGCGGCGCUUCUUGUCGUCGGCGUAGAACUCGGCCUUGAGCAGGCUGGUGCUCCGGCCGCAGGGGCUGGUGGCGCUGUUGGGGGUCACAAGGGUGAUGCUGAAGCAGUAAGAGGUGGUGUCCUUGGUGCGGCCGGCCAUAGUGGAAAUGACGGGCGUGAAGGCGAAGGGGGUGGCGCCGGGCGUGGUGACGCAAGCGCACUUGGGGAAGUCCACAGGCUCGGGGGCGCAGGCCUGGGACUGGAAGCCGCUCAGGCAAGACGCAUCCGGGGCCUGUGCGGAGCCGCCGAUGCCGCCGACGGCGGCGUAAGCGCUGUAGCCAGUCAGGAAGGCGGGGCAGCCCUGGACGCCGGUGAUCAGCUGCAGCCAGAAGGGCAGGCGCUCAUCGAUGAAGGGCUGCAGCUCGGCGCCCUGCUCCGAUGAGAAGAAGGUGGCGCACAGCUUGAUCACGUCGCCAGAGCAAACAGCCGGGGCGAAGUUGAUCGCGACGCCCAGGUUCUCGGCCUCGGUCUGGAGCUCGUCGCCGAUCAUAGCAGCGUAGUCGUCGCAGUCCUGCUGGGAGAACUCGUAAGGGAAGACAACGUUGCCGGUCUCAAGGAUGGAGAGGUACACGCAAGCCGUGCAGGGAGGAGGAGGAGACGGAGGAGGCGGGCUGGGGGGAGGAGGGCUCGGGAUGCCGGGCGUGGAGAUAGGGCAGCAGUCGUUCUGGCUGUCGAACAGCGCAGCCGAGCACACACCCUUGGGCAGGCCAGGGGGAGGAAUGCACAGCUCCUCAAGGGAGGUGCAGCCCUUGCCGUUCUUGUUCAGCGACAGGGUGAUGCAAAUCUCAGCACCGUCGCUGGCCAGGCCCAGGCCCAGCUGGGUCAGCACCAGAGUGGUGGAGCCGACGGGGCCAUCGAUGGGCUCGUGGAACGAGACACCAACCUUGGUGGGCACGCCGUUGAUGGUGGCCUUCACCACCUCGCCGAAGACGUCGCACGCCUCGUAGACGUUGAACUGUGGAGAAAGAAAACCAGAAGGGUGAGAAUGGUUUGGACAAGCACGCUAGCAGACGCCAGCAACUCUGCUAGCGACAAGCCGCGAGCGUCGGUUACUGUGAUGCUCUUCGACAUUCCCGCUCGACUUUCUGGCAUAGUCGCAACCACGUGCUUACCUCGAUCUUCUUCAGGUCCGCCUUGGUGCAGCAGUAGUCAGUGCAGCCAGCCGGCACCUUGGCGCUCAGCUUGAAGCAGUACUGGUUGUUGCCCUUGGCAACGACGACAUCACCCAGCUUGUAGGCCGAGGGAGACUUCUUGCACUGGCAGUAGGGGAACGAGGUGUACAAGCCCGACUGAGCACCCUGGGCGGCCCUGCAUUCCGAAGGCACAAGGGCAAAAGAUGUGUUGGUUCGCAUGUGUGCAUCGGCGUGCAGUCUUGAACCCAUGUGUGCAUGACGUCCUAGAGAAGAUGACACUGCCAUGUACUGAUCGAUUGCGCUCCAGGCUCCAUCAAAGGCCCGCCGGCCUAAGCUGGGGAAUGCUGGCGUGCUCCAGUGGCUGUCGAGCGUCCAGGAAAGGCUGAGCUGCCACCGUGAGCUGGGGAUGCUUUCACGUUAUGACCAACACAUCUGUCUGUGACAUACAUCAAGCUAGGGGCUGGAUCGCCUACGCCGCGACAAAAAUGGCGCGACUCCGAGAGAGCCAUCACAGACACUACUCACGCGAAUGCGGCAGCCACGAGAACGGCAACCAGCGAAUAGCUGGACCUCAUUGUUACAGAGGUCGUUCAGCUAAUUAUGGUGACCAUUUGCGCGCCGAGGGCUAUAAAUUCUGCUGGCCGAUUCCGUACGACGGCCCGCCCGCCGUCUGCCUCGACUUCGACUCGCCUCCUGGCACGCUCGACUGGCUUGCUGGCAUUGGUAACAGCCGAAUGCCGAUGCGAUUUAAUCACCAAGCCAAAAUCCACACGCAAUGUCAGCGGGCGGCGAGCGCCCACCAGGUUUUCGCGAUGAACAUGUUUUCGCGAGGCCAGUUUUACUAUAAUAUAAAACAAACUACAAGGUGUGAGCCAUCAAUAGCUUGAUCAAGGAAACACAGGAGUUGGUCGGCCGGAUUGCGGCCUGCCAUAAAUGGAAGGCAAUUUUAGGGUUGAGCCUUGUAACAAAACUGUUAGCAACAAACAGUUUCUACGCAUCUUAAGGGCCCUCUACAGGGCCCUUAAGAAUCGCGACAGCUUAUUCCUCUCAACGGUCGCUCGCUGCCUCUAGGGAUUCUGAGCCGGUCUCCUUUCUUAAAAGCAUUUGUAUCUAUACUGACUGUGGGUCUUCUAUAGACGACGGCCUGCUGUCCUGUACGCCAUUCAUAUGUUCUGGGUCUCUGCGGCCGGGAAGGGCCCGGGCAUACUCUCCUUAAUGGUCAAAGAUAAUGGGUAGACAACCGUCACCGUAAAACUCCAGCUUCGGGGCUGACUUCCGGCAAGGUAGUUAUUGGCGCGUCGAACAUCGUGCGGUCGACCUGACCGCGCUCGCUCGCCAGCCUGAAAAAGGACUACGUUUGUGGUGCUUAAUACAGCUUUCAUACGACAUGCUGUGCUGCCUCCAUCGCGUACUGCCAGCUGACAGUCUGAAGGGCAAACGACCAUGUUGUGGUUUUGGUGGCCGCGUGGCGCCCGUUCGCCUGCGCGCCCGCCCACCGCGCCCCCGGCCAAGCUUGAGUUUCUGUGGCAUCCUUGAACUGCAUGCCCCAACAGCUCACCUAAGUAGCUUCGGUUAGUCUGCAGGUGCCAAGACGCCUUCGCGGCACUUGGCGCAGCCGGGGCUGGCCGUGCCGUUGAACACCAGGGCCAGGGCUCCCCCUCCAGCUUCCCUGCGCCAGGGCUUUGGGGGCGCAUUUAAGUGGGCGGGUCCGCAAGUGGGUGGGUCUGCUGUGAAGCCCUUCAUGGGCUGAGUCCGCUUGUUGCCUUGCUCAACAAGGGCUGCCAGGUUUGGAGUGGCCGAGGGUAUGGGCCUUUGCAUGUAGUGUCACAAGGGUGUGACUACAGCACCCGAUGUGAAGAGUCUGACGCGGGAUUGGCCCGUCAGGCACGCCACGCACCGGCAGGCACGUGCGGGAGCUGGAGCUUCACAUGUUCAUUGUGGCAAUAUGCAGCUAGUUAUUUACAUAUUCUGCAAGGGGCACGUUCCGACUCCCAUGCUCCCAUAUGCAGUUGAGAAAUGCGUCUAACCUGACAGGCUCAGGUCUCAGCAUGACUGCGCGCAUGCUUUUACUGAAGUCCAAGCCACUGCUCCACACCACACGCAACGCCUCACGUUGAUGCCCUGUGCCGCGACAAAACUGAAGAGCUGCGCGCGCCAUCUAUCUCCCGCCGGGUUCACCCAUGCCAUCGGUGAGUGAUUAUCGCACUGCAGUGUAACAAGCGAUCCGCCAAAACCCCACUCCAUGAGUCAAGUUGGGCCCUGAUAGCAUGUGAUGGCUCGGCGUCUUCGGGUGCUGGGACUGUCCCCUCUGUAACAUCCGCAUUCAUGAGUCUGAUUCCGCUCAUUCAAUGCGAAUCUGACACAGUCCACACGCCAACAAAACCUUCUUCAUCAGAACUGCCCCCUAAAGCCUCAUGGUGCAAGAUGUGUGGUCCCCCCCGCAUGGGAAAAGUGGGCUGAGCCCACGCGACGUCUCUAGUCUGAGGCCGCAAGCGUCUACCUCACCUCCCUGACAUAGCCGGGGUCGGUUCGUACAGGCACGGCCCGCCAUGUGUCCAGCCACGUCCCGCUGCCAAGCAACAGCACAGCCAGCAAUCAACCAAACAGCAGGAAACCCUCUAACAUUCCUCACUGCCCCGGCCUACCACAUACUGCCCAGCCAUCCCAAUACAGCCGCCACCUUCUGUCAGCCAGCCAUGGGCGCGACCGUCCACAGCGUUUACCGUCGGUUACGAGGUAACAUGUGAAUUCGCAACUUGCGCUACUGACUGCCUACUCUCGUGCCGCCUGCAAGCCCACUCCGCCUUCCGCUCUGGUCCACGUACGCAUUAGUUCCGCAACACACGUCAAAUACUGUGCGGUGCUAUGCUCGCCAGCAAAGACCCUAACCAGACACCGGCCGACCUCAACCUGCGCGCCGGCGCCGGUGCCGCUUGUUGGGCGCCUCAAGGUGAAAACAACAACCCAAAGCGCAACUUACCGCGUAUACGCAUAGGAUGAAUAAGACCCGUAAGUUCAGAUCUCCACCUCAAACCUCACCAGCCCAGAGUUUGCUUGGCAUGCAUGAAGCAUUUCGACGCCCUUCCGACCGCUCCAGUACCCACAAAUCAAGUUGAAUGGGGUUUCUCCAGAGCAGCUGAGGCUGGCUAUGGGCAUGGGUUGACCAGCAGCCAGGUACAGAUAGAGAUCUUUUGCCUCAGCAGUUUGUACGACCAGACUGCAUGACGCCUGAUGACAAAGUCGUAUGCACGAAACCAAACUAACUGCGAACUGCGAUCCAAGUUGUAGGUAUCCGGAGUACCGUACCUGACCCGGAUACCACACUGUUCAUAUCGCGCAGGGGCCGAAGGGGUUGCGGAGCCAACCGCCACCGGUGCCAUGUGUGAUCCAGUCAUAACGCAUUUUAGUAGACUUGAAUAAAGCUUGUUGGCCUGUUUACCAUUAAUAUGGCAUGGUUCGGCCUUACGGAAAAUGCACAGCAAUGCUGAACACGCUGGGGUGGCAACCGUGGCGCAUGUACUGCGCAACAGCCCUAGCCUGCCCCCAGUAGCACUCGCAUGCCUGCGCCCGAACUCUUGCAUCGCACACCACACUCAACCGUGUAUUGUUGCAGCAACUCAAGUCCUCGUCACGCCCCACUUGGCCCUCAUUCGGGUCAGCAGUGAUGCAUACAAGUACAUGGUAGCGCUGUCGCUGCAACCUCCAGCGCUCGCAGCUUCCGGCGGCGGCACACGCUCCCGGCGGCGGUGGGAGUACGAAGGAGGGCACGGGCCCACGCCAGCCUUGCCGCCGGCAUGACUGGCCACUCCGCCAUGUCUGUCUGCGGCGCUACCCGCAGCUGCCCCUCAACCCUUACACAGGCGCCGUCGCUGCCACCGGCUCCGCAGCAAUAGCUCAAGGGGCAGACGCCGCUGCCGCCGCUGCCGCCGUGUCACCAGCCUCAGCGCCGCUGGCGGCGGCAGCCGCCCUCCCUGCCGGCGAUGCAUCUGUAGCACCCGCGCCACCGCCGCCGUAGCUACCGCCCGUGGCGGCGGCGGAGCCGGCAGAAGCGGUUGACGCCGGAUACAGCAACGGCAGCGUCACGCUCUCCGACGGUGCCAACACGGGCAGGACGCCGCCACCGCCGCCGCCGCCGCCGCCGGUGCCCACGAGCGAGAGGUGUGACGACGAUGCAAUCCCCAGACCCAGUGACGGCAUGAGGCCGGCGAAGCUGGGGGCCUGCGAUGAGAAGGACAGCAGCCCACCCACGCCCAGGCCCGUGCCGGCGCCGCUGACCUCGCCGCCCGCCGCCGCGGCGGCAGCGGCGGCGGCCGCAACCGCGGUGGCGGCGGCCGCCGAGACGCUGGUCGCCGUCGCUGCAACCGACACGCCCAUGGCCUCAGCUGCGCUGGCGAACGCUGGCAGGGCCCGCGGCCUUGCUGCGAAGGCGGAGGUGCUGCCGACGCCUGCGGCGCCUGUAGCGCCGGUAGCUGCUGCGGCUGCAUCGCCACCGUUGCCUCCGGUGCUGGCGUCAGAGGCAGGCGGCGCAGCCGGCGGCGGCGCGUGUGACGGGGCUGCAGGCGUUGGCGAAGCGGGAGCACCAGAAGGCGCGGCGGCCGCGGCGCGGCCGAGGGCGCGCAAAGGCGUUGGUGUGCCGCCGCCGAUGGCAGCGUACGGCAGUUGGUUGCUGCCUGUGCGGAUGGGCGGUGCUGGCGGCGACGGCGGAGCUCCCAUUGCCGCCGCGAGUCCUAGGUCCGGUGCGCUGUUGAGCGCCGCCGCCGCCGCCGGCGGCAGCAGCCCGUUAUGUGUGACCCCUGCCGCUGCCCCCGCUACCGCCGCCGAGCCCGCUUCCGACACCGUGUUCAGUCCUGCAGCCGCCGCCGCCGCCACCGCCUCUGCCGCCGCCUCUGCUGCCGCCCCCAUCUGUCUGAGCGCGCGGGGUGAUAGCGGUGAGCCCAGCAAUGACGGCGCUGGCGCCGCCGCUGCCGCUACCGUCGAUGCCUCAGCAGAUGCCAGCAUCACGCGCGAGCUGCUACUGCUUCCAGCACCGCCGCCGCCGUCGCCACCAACACUGCUGGCUGCUGCAACGUUCCUGCUACUGCCACUGCCCCCCGGAAACAAGCCGUGCGGCAGCGUCCCCGGCGGCACGGGGCUUCCCGGCGGCCCCGAGCCCGAGGCGACUGCCGCCGCGCCCUUGGCACUGCUGGCGCCGCUGCCGCCGCCGCCAGGGCUGACGCCGCCGCCGCCGCCGCCGCGCGGGCGGCUGGUAAUUCGUUUCAGCACUGGACCGCCGCCGCCAAGCAGCCCGCCCAACGCCCCCCCCAGUAGUACUGGCGGCGCCAUGCCAUCCUCAUCAUCCGAAUCGUCCAGGACCACAGCCGCCGGCGGCACCGCCAGUGACAGCGGCGGCGGCGGCUCCGCGCCGCCGCCACUGACCGCUCGCGCCAUGGCUAGACGCGACGCGCUGCUGCUGCCGCCUGGCUCGUGAACUGCGUCAGCAGGUCCCUCUUGUAACCAAUGCAAUCUGCCGCCGCCGCCGGCGCUCGUGCCAAUGCCGCCGGAACGCGCGGCGGCGGCGGUACUACGGCCGCUGCCGCUGCCGACGCUGCCUCGCGCGACGCGAACCGCUGCGUCCGUUGCCGCGCCUGCCUCCGCCGACUGCGCCACCCCCGCGGCGGCCGCCAGGCCGCCGCCGCCGCCGCCGCCCUCCGGCUGCGCCGGCGCAGCCGCCGGCUGCCGCGCCGCGGCGGCGGCGGCCUGCGCCAGCAGCGCCUGCUGCUGCUGCUGCUGCUGCUGCUUCCGGGCCUUCUUUGCCGCCAACAGGUCAUUCAGCAGCCGCGUCAGCACGUCCAGAGCGUCCAGGAAGCGCGGCCGGGCAGCGGGUGAGGCGGACAGGCAGGCGGUGGCGAGGUCGCGGUAGGCGGGCGGGCAGGCGGAGGGCUCGGCGGGCCAGGUGUAGAACUCGGCGGGCAGGUUGGGGAUGCGGCGGCGCAGCGGCAGGCGGCGGGCCACUGUGGAGCCGUGGAGCAGCUCCCACAGGAUCACGCCGAAAGAGUAGCUGCCGGGGGGAAAGGGGGGAGGAGCGGGAGGGAGGCUGGGGUUAGCCAUUCAUCCAAUCCCAACGGGGCACCAGUCCAAUGAAUCGCAGCCCGCUGUCGGCUUGGGCGUACAGCGUGUACUCCGCCCCUUCCCCCUGCCCCUUCCCCUGGCCGCUCUGUGCCCCAUCCCGUCCCCCUGCCGCUCCCUGCCCCCUGCCCCUUCCCCCUGCCCCUCCCCCUGCCGCUCCCUGCCUCCCGAGCACGCCCCCCUCCCCCUCCAGCCCCACCCACAGGUCUGAGGCGGUGGUGGCUCGGCCGUCCUCCACCAGCUCCGCGGCGAUGUAGAAGGGCGUGCCGCGGCUGCGGGGUGAGGCAGCGGUGCGGGGGGAGGGGGCUACAUUCAUGACUAAUUCAACAUGACAAGGGGUGUAAUUGGGUGUGCGGGUGAAGGCCGGAGUCCCCAACUGACACGUGUGAAGUAUGGGGGGGCGGGGUUGGGUGUGCGGGCGGCAUGUGGGGCCGGGCUCACGGGCUGGUGUGAGUGGCGUGUUGCAGGACUGGCGCGAGCGGCGGGAUCAGCAGCAGCAAAGGCAGGAAGGCGGACACGUCACACGCGCGCGCUGACCUCACUCGGGCCCCCAUGACCUCCGCCCCGCAACACCGCAAUCACUCCGUCUCGCAUGUUCGGCUACCCUUCCUCCGGCUGCCUCCUCCGUCUUGCGUGCACGGCUACCCCCGCCCACACCCCGCCCCCCACUCUCACCAACCUGUUCCUACUGCCCCAACCUCGCAGCCCCCCUCCCAUCACCCCCAUGGCCCCCGCCCCCCCCCCCAUCUCACCACUCCGGUCUCCACAUGAACGUCCCCCCUACUUGGUAACGACUUCGUCUGCAGCCUUCCGUGCCGCUCCUGUACCGCUUCUCCAAACAUCCUUGCAAUCCCCCCCCCGCCCUCACCGGAUGUUGCUGAUGUGGCUCUCUCCCGCCUUGAGUUUCAGCGCCAGUCCAAAGUCCGCAAUCUUGGCUGUGAAGCCGUACCCACUGGCGGCGUUGGAGCGAAGCAGGAUGUUGGCGGGCUUCUACGGAGGGCGGGAGGGGGCGGCGGAGGGGAGCUGUUGAUGUAAGGAACGUGAUGAUAAGAUAAUUAAUAGGUCACAAGUCAUGGUCACAAGUUUCAAAGUGCCCACGUCUAGUGGGAACAGGGGAUGGGGGAGCCGUUCAUGUGAAGGACGGAGUGGUUAGGUCACAAGUGUGAAGUGCCGACGUCCAGAGGGAACAAGGGGGGAAGGGAGGGAGGGUUGGAUGAUGGGAGUUGGUGGGAUGCUGUGGAGGGUGGGGUGAAAGCGAAGCAGGAGGAGGCAGCAGGGGUAGUGGGCGGAGCGGGACGCAGCUGCGUGGCGCGGUACGGAGCGGGAAUGGCACGGGCUGGGGGACAGAGAGGGAAGGAGGCGGAGGCGGGGGCGCGGAAGGGCGGGUUCCCAAGGGGCUGGCUGGGUGUUGGUUUCGUUUGGGGUUUACCUCAUCACACACACACAUGCACUCGCGCGCGCUCCGCACCAGGUCUCCGUGUAUGAUGCUGCGGGCGUGUAUGUAGCUCAUGCCGCUGGCCACCUCGAUGCCGAUGCGCAGCGCCGUCUCCAGGUCCGCCAGCCCGCUACUGCCGCCGCCGCCGCCGCCGCCGUCAGUGUGGGUCGCUGCGAAGCGGCCGCCGUCCAGCGCGUCCUUAAGCGUGCCGCCGUCGCAGUACUCCUGAGGGCGGGCGGAGGGGAGCGGACCGGUGGGUUACAUUCAUAAUUAGGUAAGGAAAUGGUAUAAGNNNNNNNNNNNNNNNNNNNNNNNNNNNNNNNNNNNNNNNNNNNNNNNNNNNNNNNNNNNNNNNNNNNNNNNNNNNNNNNNNNNNNNNNNNNNNNNNNNNNUGGAAAGUACAACACCCCUCCCCCCCUUACAACAUUUCUCCCCCCCUACAACACCCCUCCCCCCUUACAACACCCCUCCCCCCCGCACCUGCUCCUUGAAAGAGUUGCCUCCGCCUCCGCCGCCACCUCCGCCCCUCUCGCCUCCCUCGCCUCCCUCCCCGGCGCCGCCGCCGCCGCUGCCGCCCACAAAGGCCUGGAACAGCAGCGUCUUCACCGCCACCUCCAGCCCGCGCCACUCGCCUGCGAGACACACACACGCAUGCACACAUGGACAUGGUCACGUUCGUGCACAGUGCCAACCCUUCCCAACACACUCAGUCACAACACACGCCACGCAGGAGCCCAAGCCGCUUUGGAAGCAGCCCUCUACCCCCGCAACAGGUUGCUGUCUGUCCCUGCCCCCCUUGCUGCCCCCACCCCCCCAUCGGCCCUCGGCCCGGACGUCAGCCCUGCAAACCAUCACAUCCCAUCCUUCAGCCCCCCCUCCCUCCUUUCCCUACCCAUCCAUCCCCAUCGCUUCCUCUCCCCUGGCUGGUAUCUCGUCCUCGCUCCUUUGCAUUGCGUUCGGUUCAGUUUGAGCUGGUAUCUACAACCCCCCCUCUCCAGCCCCUCUCCAGCCCCCCACCCACCCUUGUAGACCACCCCGUGCGCGCCCGCUCCCAGCUGGCACGUGAUGCUGAUCUGCUGCUGCUGCGCCCCCAGCUCCGACUGAAACGCCGCAAGCGCCGCAUACAGCUCCGUGCGUGGAUUGCUGCUCGCAGCCGCAUCGCUGCCGCCGCCGCCGCCGCCGCCGCCAGUGCCGCCGGUGCCGCCAGUGCCAGUGCCCGCGCUGCGGCCGCUCAGGCUGCUGCCGGCGACGCUGCCGGGCUUUCCGGCGCCGCCGCUGCCGCCGCUGGCAACGCUGGUUCCAGAGACGCGCGGCUUGCGGCCAGUGGCGGCGGCGCCGCCGCCGCCACCGCCCUGUGGCGGGCGCUGCGCGCCGCCCGGUCCGGCGCCGCCGCUGAUGCCGCCGCUGCCACUGGCACUACCGGGUCCAGGCGAGCUCGCAGUGAGCGGAUUGCUGCCAGAGGCUACAGAGCCCGCGCCCACCUCGCUCCCCGGGGUCCGCCGCGUCCCCGCCGCCGCCGCCGCCGCCGCCGUCACGUCGCCAGCAGCGCCCGGCGGCGAUUGCAGCGCGCGCCGCCCCGACCGGGAUCUCUGCCGUUCACGUGACGUCGCCACCGCCGCCGCCGCCGCUAGCGUGACGCCCACGCCCGCCGCCACCGCGCCGGCGCCAUUGCCACUGCCGCCGUCGCCGCCGCCGCCACUCUCCAAGUCGAGGUGCGGCUCUAUUUCCGGGAAGGCACGUGACGCCGCGCUAGAUGGCAGGCCGCUGCCGCCGCCGGCGGGGCUGGCGGCGCCGCCGGUACGGUGGUUGUACGGCCCGUGCUCGGAUCCAACCACCGACCGUGGCGGUGACGUGGCUCCGGAUCCAGGUGUGGCGGCGCCGCCGGCUGACGCAGCCGCCGCUGCGGCGGCGGC
rnacentral:lncRNA from 1 species